rfam:Schistosoma mattheei strain Denwood, Zambia genome assembly, scaffold: SMTD_scaffold0020407
AUUCAGCUGACGAGUUCCAAAUAAGAUGAACGCGAGUCCUGGAU